rnacentral:rRNA from 1 species
GAUGAACGCUGGCGGCGUGCUUAAUACAUGCAAGUCGAGCGGACGGACGAUGAGCUUGCUUCUCUGAUGUUAGCGGCGGACGGGUGUGUAACACGAGUAUCACCUACCUAUCAGUCUGGGAUAACUUCGGAAAACCGGAGCUUAUACCGUAUAAUAUUUUGAUCCGUAUUGUGCAAUAGUGAAAGACGGUCUUUCUGGCUCUUAUAGCGGCAUCCCCGCUUCAUUAGCUGGUUGGUAAGGUAACGGCUUACCAAGGCAACGAUGCAUAGCCGACCUGAGAGGGGGAUCGGCCACACUGGAACUGGGACAGGGUCAAGACUACUACGGGAGGCAGCAGUAGGGAAUCGUCCGCAAUGGGCGAAAGCAUGACGGAGCAACGCGGAGUGAGUGAUGAAGAUGUUCGGAUCGUAAAACUCUGUUAUUAGGGAAGAACAUAUGUGUAAGUAACUGUGCACAUAUUGACGGUACCUAAUCAGAAAGCCACGGCUAACUACGUG